rnacentral:lncRNA from 1 species
AGUAAAGUAAUAAGAUUAAGAAUUUAUAGAUCUAAAUAAUCUGGGUUAGAUUACUACUAUGAUUAGUGAUUGGAAAAAAUCACUUUGUGAAUAUUUUCUAUUCUCAGGCACCAAAUUUUAGUUAAGUGCUCUGCUUUAAAGAAAGGACUGUAUUAUAUAUAUCUCAAGAAUGCUCUUCCUCCUUUAUGUAGUCAAUUAAAACUAGUAUUUUUUUUUGUUGUUAAUGGCUGCUAUAAUUUGCUUUAUACAUAAUCUGACAUAGCGUGCUCACAAGUCUGCAUUUCAGCUUGAGGUAUCUUCAUCACAUUUCACAGUGAUGGAAGUAAUUUGUUCAUCUGAAAAGCUAAGACUCUGCUGAAGCUCAAACUGUUUGCAAUGAAAGAGAAAGACAUGGCAGGAAAUGGAUCCAGUCUCUGACUACUGCAUGGAAGGAAUGAGCUCACAUCCCUUAAUGACAAUGAUUGAAUCCAUGGUACAUGGUACAAUCCUACUGUAGUAGGAUUGUUCCAACUGCAUAAAGGAACUUGAAUGUACAGAACUACAUUUUUGGGUCCUGGGAGGAGGAUGAAGAGAAUGAAAUCAGUAAUGUACUUCUAAAUAAAAGAAGCAGCUCUAUUGGAAGAAGAUUUCUCUAGUUCAAUUGGCAAGAUAUAUCCUUACUUUCAAUGUGAAUUGGAGGUUUCUGCUCAGCAAACUCCUCUCCCAUCUUGUGGCAAUUUUGCUGAUUUGAGGUGGACAAAAGAGUCAGGAUCCCUUUUACAAGGCUGCACAGUGGAGGAAUUACAGGGUAAGGAGCAACAGGUGUCCACAGUACUGCAAUAGUGACAUGCUUGACUUUAAGCAUGGCAAUAAUGUCAGUUAUUUACAAAUAAGUGAAUAAUAGGAAUGGACAUUAGUGUUGUUUACGAGUUACAGAGAAGGAGCUAUUUUAUUUGUGUUGUGUAAUAGUUCUGCUUUAUUUCAGAGGUUUGUUUUCUUUUCAUGACAUUUCAUCACUUCUCAUUUCCCCCAAAUUAGAUUGUAAACCGAAGUAUUCAUUCUUUAUUCCAGUCUCACAGAAAGAAAAAAAAAAAUAGAGAGCAACAAAACCCCUGUAAAAUAAACAUUGCUGGUAUUUACA